rnacentral:rRNA from 1 species
AGAUUGAACGCUGGCGGCAUGCCUAACACAUGCAAGUCGAACGGGAGUAGCAAUACUCUAGUGGCGGACGGGUGAGGAAUACGUAGGAAUUUGCCCUUAAGUGGGGGAUAACCCGGGGAAACCCGGAUUAAUACCGCAUGACCUCGAAAGAGCAAAGUGGGGGAUCGCAAGACCUCACGCUUUUGGAGAAGCCUACGUCGGAUUAGCUAGUUGGUGAGGUAAUGGCUCACCAAGGCGACGAUCCGUAACUGGUUCUGAGAGGAUGAUCAGUCACACCGGUACUGAGAC